UGAUAAAAUUGAAAACUUCAAUUAUUCUCCACCACAAAUAAAAAAAUAAAGCACAUUCGUGCUUUCUUGUUCACCCACAAAAAAAGGAAGUUGCUUUUUCUUCUUUACUUUCACAGAACAAAACAACAAGAACAAUUCUUUCUUUUCUUUUUUCUUUAAUCGAUCAAGUAACAAGCAAGUAGCAACCUUCACAAGCUUCCCAUUAGGGUUCUGACCGGUGGCUGUUCGGGGUUUAGGAGGAUGUCGACGGUGGUUCUCACAGGUUGUAGAUGAUGAGCAAAGUGUUUCCAAGGAUCAGAAACACCGCUCUGAUAGGGUGAUACUAUACACACCCCCCUAAUUCCUGAUUACACCCCCCCUAUAAAAACAUCACAUCCAUCAAU